UCAGGAGCCACGAGUGUUCAUUUUGUGUUCCUUGAUAUGCUUUUUUAAUUCUCAAAAACAGGCAGCCGCUGACUUGCAUUUUAUGAAUCUCCAAGGACCACAGUUUCAGCUAAAAAUCUUCUUUACUGUUAUACUGAAGAAAAAAAAUUACCUACAUCUUGCGGAGCUCAUUUUUUCCCAACAACACGGCAUGAGCGAUUGGCCGCCCUACUGCAGUUGCCCCUGUCACCAUCAGAACAAGUGGCAUAUGCUGCCUACCACAGGCUUCUGCACCUGAAGAUGACCUUUAUUUCCAGCGCGGCCGCCUGCAGCGAGCGAGUCGUGUCACUGUGCAUUUGCGUCUAAUGGCUCUGUGUGUCAAGAGCAUAUGGCCUGUUAGCUCUCUUCACACGUAUGCCGGAUAUACAUCAGUCCUGACCGCUUCUUUAUUGUCUUUCAUUCCCAGUGACACUGCCGAGGGGAACAAACAGCUCUUGUCGUCUGCCUGAACACCACAGAGAUGCAGUGGUGCGUCUUUUUCGCGAGCAGCCCGUCCCUUAGAGACAUCAAAGACUGGCGGUUUUGUGUGAGCACGUAGCACUGUAAUUAUCAGAAAUGGGCUGAAAAAUCACUGAUCAUACGACGAUGUCCGGUGGGAGAAAAACCUGUUUAAGCGGCUUAUGAUCGCUGCAGGCUUCAGAGCUUUCCCAGAGUGACUGUCCUGCUUUUUUUCUUUCAGCAGGGACAAUGCACAGCAGGUAGGCAGCUGUGGAGAUGAGUGAAGCCUGGCGUUUCAGAAGACAGCAUGUCUUACGCGCUAUCCCUCUCAAGUGUGCAAGAAUGAGUGAUGCUUGAAGUUGGUGUCUGGUCCUCUCUGGGGUGUGCACACACAUAUGAGUAUGCACGAAGUAGUAUACAAACACAAGCACAAAGCUUCUUCUGAACAGCUGGACUGUGACUGGAUCACGGUGGUUUCAUGUGGCUUAUGAGAAUGACUGGCAUUAAUGCUCUGUUUGUCUUCUCUUGAUUGUGUUGCGGUUUUAUUUACAGAGGAGACUGAGGAUUGUUUUUACAGCACUGUGCUGUUGUUUGUGUUUAUUAAUACCGUUAUUUCCCAUGGGGGAAAACGAGAUGUUAGUUGUUACAAUGGAACCUGCAAAAUGCUUUUCAGCACAAUAUAAACAAAAAUUAUGAAUCACAG
ensembl:lncRNA